rnacentral:rRNA from 1 species
AACGAACGCUGGCGGCAUGCCUAACACAUGCAAGUCGAACGAUCCCUUCGGGGAUAGUGGCGCACGGGUGCGUAACGCGUGGGAAUCUGCCCUUGGCUUCGGAAUAACAGUUAGAAAUGACUGCUAAUACCGGAUGAUGUCUUCGGACCAAAGAUUUAUCGGCCAGGGAUGAGCCCGCGUAGGAUUAGGUAGUUGGUGAGGUAAAGGCUCACCAAGCCGACGAUCCUUAGCUGGUCUGAGAGGAUGAUCAGCCACACUGGGACUGAGACACGGCCCAGACUCCUACGGGAGGCAGCAGUGGGGAAUAUUGGACAAUGGGCGCAAGCCUGAUCCAGCAAUGCCGCGUGAGUGAUGAAGGCCUUCGGGUCGUAAAGCUCUUUUACCCGGGAUGAUAAUGACAGUACCGGGAGAAUAAGCUCCGGCUAACUCCGUGCAGCCGCCGCAGUAA